rnacentral:rRNA from 1 species
GGGAAAGGCGAAAAGAACCCCGGCGAGGGGAGUGAAAAAGAACCUGAAACCGUGUACGUACAAGCAGUGGGAGCACGCUUAGGCGUGUGACUGCGUACCUUUUGUAUAAUGGGUCAGCGACUUAUAUUCUGUAGCAAGGUUAACCGAAUAGGGGAGCCGAAGGGAAACCGAGUCUUAACUGGGCGUUAAGUUGCAGGGUAUAGACCCGAAACCCGGUGAUCUAGCCAUGGGCAGGUUGAAGGUUGGGUAACACUAACUGGAGGACCGAACCGACUAAUGUUGAAAAAUUAGCGGAUGACUUGUGGCUGGGGGUGAAAGGCCAAUCAAACCGGGAGAUAGCUGGUUCUCCCCGAAAGCUAUUUAGGUAGCGCCUCGUGAAUUCAUCUCCGGGGGUAGAGCACUGUUUCGGCAAG